rnacentral:lncRNA from 1 species
AUGACUCCUGAUCGUAGACUUCCCCGCCUCCAGAACUUUUGGUUUGAUUUGAUUUUCCUGACUUGUGGAGAAGCUCUCCCUCAUCAAGCAACGGUGGGCAUUCAGAGUAAGACCUUUGUUAAAUUGAUAACUUGCAGGAGGACACGGAAUCAGCAGAAACAAUGGAAUGUUCAUUACUGUGCUAUAUUUUUAAGGUUAAAAAGGUGUUUAGCAAUAACAUUCCACUGA